rnacentral:rRNA from 1 species
GCAGAGAUUUAUACUCGUACCUUUUGCAUCAUGAUUUAGCUAGCAUCAUUAGGCAAAGAGAACUUUAGUCUAUACUCCCGAAACCAAGUGAGCUACUCCAAGACAGCCUAGUAUAUAGGGCAAACCCGUCUCUGUGGCAAAAGAGUGGGAAGAACUUUGAGUAGGGGUGACAGACCUACCGAACCUGGUUAUAGCUGGUUGCCUGACAACUGGAUAGAAGUUCAGCCUUAAAGAUUCUUUUGAAACUUUAAGAGUUAAUCAAAGGGGGUACAGCCCCUUUGAUAAAAGACACAACUUUUACAGGAGGUUAAAGAUCAUAAUCCUCAAGGAACAACUGCUCUGGUGGGCCUAAAAGCAGCCAUCCCCUCAGAAAGCGUUAAAGCUCGAGCACUAUCCCGAUAACCCCAUCUUAUUCCCCUGAAUUUUAUCAGGCCGACCCAUGCCCCCAUGGGUGUGACCAUGCUAAUAUGAGUAAUAAGAGGGGCCCCUCUCCCCGCACACGUGUACAUCGGAACGAACCCCCACCGAAAAUUAAUCGGCCCCAAACAAAGAGGGCAGUUGGCGAAAACUAGAAGACCACCUACCGUUAACCCCACACCGGAGUGCAACUAGGGAAAGACUAAAAGAAAAAGAAGGAACUCGGCAAACAAGCCUCGCCUGUUUACCAAAAACAUCGCCUCUUGCACUAUAAGAGGUCCCGCCUGCCCAGUGACUAACCAGUUAAACGGCCGCGGUAUUCUAACCGUGCAAAGGUAGCGCAAUCACUUGUCUUUUAAAUGAAGACCCGUAUGAAUGGCACGACGAGGGCUUAACUGUCUCCUUUUUCCGGUCAAUGAAAUUGAUCUCCCCGUGCAGAAGCGGGGAUAUUUACAUAAGACGAGAAGACCCUAUGGAGCUUUAGACGCAAACCAGACUCCGUCACUUACUCCAAAAUCAAACGGACUAAACCAAAAAGGCCCUGUUCUUACGUCUUCGGUUGGGGCGACCAUGGGGUAAUAAAAAACCCCCACGUGGACUGGGAGCUCUCCCAAAAUUAUAGAGCCACAGCUCUAACUCAACAGAAUUUCUGACCAAAAAUGAUCCGGCAAUGCCGAUCAACGGACCAAGUUACCCUAGGGAUAACAGCGCAAUCCCCUUUUAGAGCCCAUAUCGACAAGGGGGUUUACGACCUCGAUGUUGGAUCAGGACAUCCUAAUGGUGCAG